GAUAGACGCUGGCGGCGUGCCUAAUACAUGCAAGUCGAGCGGUAAGGCUCCUUCGGGAGUACACGAGCGGCGGACGGCUGAGUAACGCGUAGGAACGUACCCCAAACUGAGGGAUAACUGCUCGAAAGAGUAGCUAAUACCGCAUGUGCUCUACGGAGUAAAGCUACGGCGGUUUGGGAACGGCCUGCGUACGAUUAGAUUGUUGGUGAGGUAAUGGCUCACCAAGUCGACGAUCGUUAGCUGGUCUGAGAGGAUGAUCAGCCAGACUGGGACUGAGAACGGCCCAGACUCCGUACGGGAGGCAGCAGGUAGGGUAAUUUUCCACAAUGGACGAAAGUCUGAUGGAGCAACGCCGCGUGCAGGAUGAAUGCCUUCGGGUUGUAAACUGCUUUUAUCUGUGACGAAUAUGACGGUAGCAGAUGAAUAAGGAUCGGCUAACUCCGUG
rnacentral:rRNA from 1 species